rnacentral:rRNA from 1 species
AUACAGAGGGUGCGAGCGUUAAUCGGAAUUACUGGGCGUAAAGCGCGCGUAGGCGGCUACUUAAGUCAGAUGUGAAAUCCCCGGGUUCAACCUGGGAACUGCAUCUGAUACUGGGUAGCUAGAGUUUAGGAGAGGGAAGUAGAAUUUCAGGUGUAGCGGUGAAAUGCAUAGAGAUCUGAAGGAAUACCAGUGGCGAAGGCGGCUUCCUGGCCUAAAACUGACGCUGAGGUGCGAAAGCGUGGGUAGCAAACGGGAUUAGAAACCCCUGUAGUCC